rnacentral:rRNA from 1 species
AUUGAACGCUGGCGGCAGGCCUAACACAUGCAAGUCGAGCGAGCGGCGGACGGGUGAGUAAUGUCUGGGAAACUGCCUGAUGGAGGGGGAUAACUACUGGAAACGGUAGCUAAUACCGCAUACCAUCAGAUGUGCCCAGAGGGGAUUAGCUAGUAGGUGGGGUAACGGCGCACCUAGGCGACGCUCCCUAGCUGGUCUGAGAGGGUGACCAGCAACACUGGAACGGAGACACGCUCGAGAAUCCUACGGGAGUCAGCAGUGGGGAAUAUUGCACAAUGGGCGCAGGCCUGAUGCAGCCAUGCCGCGUGUGUGAAGAAGGCCUUCGGGUUGAAGAGCACUUUCAGCGGGGAGGCGUUACCCGCAGAAGAAGCACCGGCUAACUCCGUGCCAGCGGCGGCGGUAGUAC